GGUUAGUUUAUCCAUCGAGGAGGAAUAAACACAUGCCUCUUCUCAGGUUUGGUGGCAAAACCCUCAUGGAACGGCAGGUGGGAAAAUGGGAAGACAAGUAUCAGGUCUCUGCUCUGUUGCUAAAGGUAAAUAUUCAGAGAAAAACCGGCGUCGGCUACAGCUGUCUUCAGGGAUCUGUGGACCUUCCAGAUAAGGUGAGCUGCCCCGAUCAUUUGAUGACCCGAAUUGUCGGGGAAUCCGAUAUUCACCCUCAAACGCAACACCGUGACCCCCCCAGCCUCCUCCUGCGCUGAUUAAAAUUAAAGCGCUUUGCUGAUGAAGCCCCCCAGAACUGAAGCGUUUACCGUCAUUUCUAAACCCACCCCCUGAAAACCUAAUUUCCAGACGGUGAGCCUUGCCCCACAGGCCUCUGUGAGGCUUAGACAAAUAAUGCAAAACCUCUAGCAACCCCUGCGAAGAACCCGCUCCCACCACCUGGGCUCUGUUUCAUUUCAUUUGCUUAGCUUUGCUGUUGUUUUCUUUUUUUUAUCCAAUGGAUCAUUGGUGGGGGAGGGUGUUUUUUUUUUUUUUCUCCCCCCCCUUCAGUUGUACACAAAUUCUAAACUGGAAGCUGCUCCUGACUUAACUACUUAUGAGAAACACGAAUAUGUCUGGCGGCUUUGAUGUCUGCCGCACAACAAAGGAGAGAGUUACUCUGGGCCACUGUAAUCCUUGAUUUGUCACUAAGUUAUGACACCCAGCAGAGCCGUGUGACAGUGCAAAUCAAUCAGCCGGUGUGCUGGCGGGGCCUUCCCUGCCUCCCCGCCGAGCCUCCGCCGUUUAAUUAGCUUUUUUCACACUUCCAGAAUGUACAUCUGCAGCUUCAGCAAGAAAAGAGACGGAAG
rnacentral:lncRNA from 1 species